rnacentral:tRNA from 1 species
GCCCCCGUAGCUCAGCGGACAGAGCAGUGGACUUCUAAUCCAAUGGUCGCAGGUUCAAGUCCUGCCGGGGGCG